UAGGGAAUCUUCGGCAAUGGACGGAAGUCUGACCGAGCAACGCCGCGUGAGUGAAGAAGGUUUUCGGAUCGUAAAGCUCUGUUGUAAGAGAAGAACGAGUGUGAGAGUGGAAAGUUCACACUGUGACGGUAACUUACCAGAAAGGGACGGCUAACUACGUGCCAGCAGCCGCGGUAAUACGUAGGUCCCGAGCGUUAUCCGGAUUUAUUGGGCGUAAAGCGAGCGCAGGCGGUUAGAUAAGUCUGAAGUUAAAGGCUGUGGCUUAACCAUAGUACGCUUUGGAAACUGUUUAACUUGAGUGCAGAAGGGGAGAGUGGAAUUCCAUGUGUAGCGGUGAAAUGCGUAGAUAUAUGGAGGAACACCGGUGGCGAAAGCGGCUCUCUGGUCUGUAACUGACGCUGAGGCUCGAAAGCGUGGGGAGCAAACAGGAUUAGAUACCCUGGUAGUCCACGCCGUAAACGAUGAGUGCUAGGUGUUGGGUCCUUUCCGGGACUCAGUGCCGCAGCUAACGCAUUAAGCACUCCGCCUGGGGAGUACGACCAGCAAGGUUG
rnacentral:rRNA from 1 species